AGGACAAGAUAGUUACCCACAACUCUACUGGAAACGAGGCUCACCCAAAGCAGGGAUACUACAAAAAGAACAAGGCAGGGAAUUCUUCAUUCAAACUCAUCAGAGAAAUGGACAGCUUGGAUCUAUAACGAAGCACUGUAUUUCAAAACAUAGGUCAGUAAUUGUAUAUGAGAAUAUACACUGCCACAUAAAAAUUAACUGACCAGAGCACUUUUCAAUAUUCAAAACAAAAUAAGCUCCCCUAUAAAAGUAG